rnacentral:rRNA from 1 species
UACGGGGGGAGCAAGCGUUGUUCGGAUUUACUGGGCGUAAAGGGCGCGUAGGCGGGCGCGACAAGUCACUUGUGAAAUCUCUGGGCUCAACCCAGAACGGUCAAGUGAUACUGUCGUGCUAGAGUGCGGAAGGGGCAACUGGAAUUCUUGGUGUAGCGGUGAAAUGCGUAGAUAUCAAGAGGAACACCUGCGGCGAAGGCGGGUUGCUGGGCCGACACUGACGCUGAGGCGCGAAAGCUAGGGGAGCGAACGGG